rnacentral:sRNA from 1 species
CUUUCUUGCCUCGGUGAUCCACCAGCCUUGUCACCCAGGAUUUAGAUUGGCAGAUUCGUCUCUCGCCUUUGGAAUUUCUACCUUCUCCUAGGUUUUGUUUUUUAAAAUCAGGCCUAUGAUACCGCUCAUGGGCUCAUAUUUAUUUUAGCAUUGUAAUUUAAGUUGUAUUUUAUGCAACUCUACCCCGAUACAGAGAGCUGUUGAUGUAACUGCAGCGAGCAAAUGGAAGACUAGAGACUAGCGAAGGGGCCGAGACUUCGUCUCCAGAGUAUCCCUGUCAGCAUCCAUCAACUGCACUCAUAUAUUGAAUGCAGCUCCUAUCCGCCUUUCUUUUCGACUUCUUCAUGCCGUUACCACUCUUCAUCAUAAGCGGCGGGCUCGCCAGCCUCGAGCGAAAGUGUGACUGCGAACGGGCAGGCGCGCGCGGGGCUCGGCGGAGGCGCGCUUGGGCUCCCGGCGGCGACGACUACGACCACUAGGAGAGCGGACGGAGGCGGCGCCUGAAGCGGCGGCGGAGCCCAUGCCCCGGGACGGCGGGUGGGCCCGGAGAGACA